rnacentral:lncRNA from 1 species
AGUGCCAGAGUGAUGAAUGUGUUGCUGAAUAAAAGAUGGCAAAUGGGGUCUAAAAGAAUGGUGCGUUUCACUCUCAUCCUCAAUUCUUUCAUGAGAAACAUGGGUCACUUGGAUUGGUGGUGGAUAAUCAAGAGGGGAGUCAAGUUCUUGAUUGUGAGAUGUGUGAUACACGUGGGUUUCUUGAAUUCCGGGUGGUGGUGGACGUGCAUACUCAUUUUCUUCAUAAUGGGGUCUAGAAAACGGUGGAGGUGGAUAUGGAGUUUCUUGAUAAUAGGGGGGCGGCGGCGGCGGUGCAUAUUGAUCAUCUGUUAGAUAUGGGGCUGGUGGUGGUGGAGCAGAAUCUGGUGGUGGGUAGUAUUCUCUUCUUUCGUC